GUCUUUGAUAAUUUCAUCCUUUUUGCACUGGCACUGGUUUCUUCCCAUCUUCGUGAAUUUAUCUACCUUUGAUCUUUGAAGGUGGUGAUUUCAGAUGGGAUCUCUGAGUGAGCAUCCUUUCUGUUGAAGUUGAAGCUAUUUCUCCUGUUUGAGGAGAAAUAGCUUCAAUAGCAUUUUUUUUUUUGGUUAUGCAGUUGUCAGGAAGCCAUUUGACAAGGCAGUCUGUCGCUCAUCUUCCUGCAGAGGCACUGUUGGGCUGCCUUGGCUCAGCCUGGCUGCUGGGUAGUCUUCCUCUGGGUUUUGUUUACGCAGGUGAGGUUAGAUCCACCUUCCCAAUGGUGGCUUCUUUCCUCCCACCAAGCUCAAUCAUCCCAGGUUGCUGUGCUGGCUGCAAAACUCUAGUGAGAGGAUUUCAGUUUGCUGGACUUUGUGGGGGUGGGACCUGCCAAGCCAUAUCACCUGUUUCCCUGCUUUCAACUCUCCCUGUUUGUGGGGGACGGGUAGUUCCUUCCGGAAAGCAUUCUCAGUGUUAGCCAAAACUUCUGCCCAGGUCUGUGCCAACAACUGGUGGCACCAGGCAGAUCAGAGCUGUCUCUCAGAUCUGUGUUGAUAGCUUGUGCUUUUCAGCCUGGCAGCAUUUUCCUGUGCUGUGCAUUGCAGAGGGCACGGGGGAAGCGCAAUAUCUGGACCGGAAUGCCGAGGGGGUAUGAUCCCUGAUCCUCCAGGCCAGUUGCACUUCCCAGGUGGGGCAGUGCCCUGCCCUGCUUCGGUUAGCCCUCUUUGGGUUACUCCCACCCUGCUUUGGUUCACCCUUUUUGGGCUAUUCUCACUGUCCGACCGGUCCCAUUGAAAUGAACCUGGUACCUCAUUUGGGAAUGUGGAGAUUGCUCGCCUUCUGGGUAUCUCUCCCUGGGAGCUGCUCUCCAGAGUUGUUCCUGUUCAGCCAUUUUAGCAGACCUCUACAUAUUAACAACUUUUAGGGAUGGCAUUGUGGAUAAGAUAUGGGGCUCCUAAGUAG